AUCAACGAGUGGAUCUCUGAGCUGGUGCGAGUGAGUCGAGGUGAGUGGAGGAUUUGUUCAGCCCGUCACUCACUGUUGCACCUGCUGUCCACAGUCACUGCUGAGGAUGUGUGAGAUGGCCUGCAGUCUUUGAGUGGCGUAAUCCACAAACUGCUGCUUCAGGGCCCUUUCUUUCGAGCUGUUGGUCCAGGUGACCCUUUCAUACAGCAGUGACCAACACGCCCACCGAUGCUCUGGAUGUGAACGAGACCAGUCCUGUUGCCAUGGAGAUAGCCAGCUCGUCCUGGGUCUGAGCAGAGGAAGAGAAUUUGAAGAUGUCACACGCCUGAAAGAAUGAAAGAACAAUGUGUCUAGUCUUAAGUAACCUUUCCCUGUGCACAGCAGGACG